GACGAACGCUGGCGGCGUGCUUAACACAUGCAAGUCGAACGCUGAAGCUCUGUGCUUGCGCUGUUUGGGUGAGUGGCGAACGGGUGAGUAAUACGUGAGUAACCUUCCCUUUACUCUGGGAUAAGCCUGGGAAACUGGUUCUAAUACUGGAUACUACAUGUCACCGCAUGGUGGUGUGUGGAAAGGGUUUUACUGGUUUUGGAUGGGCUCACGGCCUAUCAGCUUGUUGGUGGGGUAAUGGCUCACCAAGGCGACGACGGGUAGCCGGCCUGAGAGGGUGACCGGCCACAAUGGGACUGAGACACGGACCAGACUCCUACGGGAGGCAGCAGUGGGGAAUAUUGCACAAUCGGCGGAAGCCUGAUGCAGAGACGCCGCGUGAGGGAUGACGGCCUUCGGGUUGUAAACAUCUUUAAGCAAGGAAGAAGCGAAAGUGACGGUACGUGAAGAAGAAGCGCCGGCUAACUACGUG
rnacentral:rRNA from 1 species